AGUGAACGCUGGCGGUAGGCCUAACACAUGCAAGUCGAACGGCAGCACAGUAAGAGCUUGCUCUUACGGGUGGCGAGUGGCGGACGGGUGAGGAAUACAUCGUAAUCUACUUUUUCGUGGGGGAUAACGUAGGGAAACUUACGCUAAUACCGCAUACGACCUACGGGUGAAAGCAGGGGAUCUUCGGACCUUGCGCGAUUGAAUGAGCCGAUGUCGGAUUAGCUAGUUGGCGGGGUAAAGGCCCACCAAGGCGACGAUCCGUAGCUGGUCUGAGAGGAUGAUCGGCCACACUGGAACGGAGACACGGUCCAGACUCCUACGGUAGGCAGCAGUGGGGAAUAUUGGACAAUGGGCGCAAGCCUGAUCCAGCCAUACCGCGUGGGUGAAGAAGGCCUUCGGGUUGUAAAGCCCUUUUGUUGGGAAAGAAAAGCAGCAGGUUAAUACCCCGCUGUUCUGACGGUACCCAAAGAAUAAGCACCGGCUAACUUCGUG
rnacentral:rRNA from 1 species